rnacentral:rRNA from 1 species
UACGGAGGGAGCUAGCGUUGUUCGGAAUUACUGGGCGUAAAGCGCACGUAGGCGGCUUUGUAAGUUAGAGGUGAAAGCCCCGGGGCUCAACCCCGGAAUUGCCUUUAAGACUGCAUCGCUUGAAUCCGGGAGAGGUGAGUGGAAUUCCGAGUGUAGAGGUGAAAUUCGUAGAUAUUCGGAAGAACACCAGUGGCGAAGGCGGCUCACUGGACCGGUAUUGACGCUGAGGUGCGAAAGCGUGGGGAGCAAACAGG